UACGAAGGGGGCUAGCGUUGCUCGGAAUUACUGGGCGUAAAGCGCACGUAGGCGGCUUUCUAAGUCGGGGGUGAAAUCCUGGAGCUCAACUCCAGAACUGCCUUCGAUACUGGAGAGCUUGAGUCCGGGAGAGGUGAGUGGAACUGCGAGUGUAGAGGUGAAAUUCGUAGAUAUUCGCAAGAACACCAGUGGCGAAGGCGGCUCACUGGCCCGGUUCUGACGCUGAGGCGCGAAAGCGUGGGGAGCAAACAGG
rnacentral:rRNA from 1 species